UCUGGUUGACCAGCAGAGUGCUAACGGUGGGCCGGUGGCUUGAUUCAUUGUUGUGAAUCAUCUCUGUAGGUCUAAUGAGCGUGUUCAUUUCAACACCUCCUUAGAACAUGAGAGGGAGUCCGGUACAAGGAGGGGGAAGGGAGGGCUAUCUGACUCACGUUGGACACGGAGGAGCCGAAAAAGGUAGCUGAAGGUUUCUCUGUCAACCCCUAUCCCGUCACUAUCGUACCGCUACGAGGAGAUGCGCUCUGACUCACUGUGAAGUAGCCCUCUGAUGCUGCAUUUAAACUGUAUUUUGGAAGUUCAAACUCAGGGGCACCAUAGAAGUCCACUAUAUAGAGAGAAAUCCUGAAAUGUUUUCCUCAAAAAAAGACAUUAACAUCUUGGAUGACAAGGGGCUCUGCUCUGAAUGGAUUCUUACCUCCAAACUAGACUAGACCAUACCUACGAGCUCCAAAACAGACAUGUUUAUUCGCUUUUAAGGAAGUGAACUGAUCACUGAAGUGAACAAUCUAUGGCCAGAGUGCAUUUGUCAGCUAUGAAUUUGACUGCACUGAUGAGACUCAUGUUACUUCAGUAAAUGAUGAAGAAUUAUUUUAUCUGAAUAAUUUAAGCUUCCUGGGAUGAUUUUGACUGGAGAUGGUAAGAGUGUAAUUUUUCAUUUUAUUCCCUGAAGUACUAACAACAAAAUUAUGAACUUUUGUGUGGAUUUUAGGAUAUUUAAAUCUUAUUUAGCCUUCCUCAAACUCUAUGUUAGGGUCUUCCUCUUUUUUUUUUUCCAUUUCUGUUCGUUCAGUCUGCAUCUAAAAAGUCAUCAAGUUUUGAAUCAAUCAAAAAAUUUGUGGAAAAAAAAUAAAAUAAAUAAUAAUAAUUCGAAAAUGGAAAAUAAACAUGCAAGUACAUAAAGGAAUACAUUUGACCUUUUUUGUCAUUUUAUUCCCCUUCAUGUCACUCCAAAUCUGUUAGACUUGCUUUCUUUUCUGUGAAACACAAAAGCAGCUGUUUAGCAGUAUGUUCAGGCUGCUUUUCCCCAUUUAAUAAUAGAUGAGGGCUGGAGUAUCACUAUAAAAUUACCUUAAAGUGGUCCAUAUAAAGUCUGAAGCCAUAAUGUUAAUCUCACUCCUCCUCUAUUUCACCUGAGACUGGAGAGUUACUAUAAAGGAAAGUUUUGCAGUGAAUAACUGUUCAUAUUUGAUUUUCUUGUAACAACUUUUUCUGAAAUGCUGUUUAUAAUCAUACACCCCCUUAGACAAUCCAUCUCAUGAAAAGUUAACUUAAUAAAUGAAUAAAUGAAUACAGUACAUACACUAUUUAUGCAUAUUUAUUUGACACACAUACUUAUUUACAUUUCACUGCAUUUGUACAUAACAUAUCUGUACAUACAAAUACCAUCUAUUGUCUAUUUUUGUAUAUUGUGUAUUUUUUCUUUAAAUAUUUUUUGUAUACUGAUAUUUCCUAUUUACUUUUUAUUCAAUUUUAUUUUUUUAUGCUCUUUAUCUUGUCUUGUCACUGUCAUUCUGUUGUACUGUGGAAGCUUCUGUCGCCAAAAC